UUGAACGCUGGCGGCAUGCCUUACACAUGCAAGUCGAACGGUAGAGGGGCAACCCUUGAGAGUGGCGAACGGGUGAGUAAUGCAUCGGAACGUGCCCAGUCGUGGGGGAUAACGCAGCGAAAGCUGUGCUAAUACCGCAUGUGAUCUGUGGAUGAAAGCAGGGGACCGCAAGGCCUUGUGCGAUUGGAGCGGCCGAUGUCAGAUUAGCUAGUUGGUAGGGUAAAAGCCUA
rnacentral:rRNA from 1 species